UGCUCGGGGCCGGCGGGGGCGGCGGCGGCGGAAGGCGGAAGGGGAGGUGUUGAGCCAGCCGAGCGGCGCGGCCAUGGCGGAGCCGGUGCGGGAGGAGCUCUCGGCCCUGGGUGCGAUUUUCUGCGGGCCCGGCGAGUGGGAAGUGCUGAGUCGCUCAGAGACAGAUGGAACUGUGUUCAGAAUUCUCACAAGAGCCGAAGGAUUUAUGGAUGCGGAUAUACCCUUACGAUUGGUGUUCCAUUUACCGGUUAAUUACCCGUCGUGUCUGCCUGGUAUUGUGGUUAACUCCGAACACCUGACCAGGGCUGAGUGUGAGAUUGUGAAGGAGAAGUUACUGGAGCAAGCAGAGACCCUUUUGUCGGAACCUAUGGUUCAUGAGCUAGUUCUCUGGAUUCAGCAGAAUCUCAGGCACAUCCUCAGGCGGCCAGAAGCUGGAGGUGGCAGUGAAAAGUGCACUUCUGCAGCAAGCACGACUGUGGAUGAUGGAUUGUGGAUGACUCUUUUGCAUUUAGACCAUAUGAGAGCAAAGACCAAAUAUGUCAAAAGUGUGGAGAAGUGGGCUUCCGAUUUAAGGCUGACAGGAAGACUGAUGUUCAUGGGUAAAGUAAUACUGAUUUUACUGCAGGGAGACAGAAACAACAUCAAGGAGUACCUGAUUCUUCAGAAAACCUGCAAAGUAGAUGUGGACUCAAGUGGAAAGAAAUGCAAAGAGAAAAUGAUUAGUGUACUGUUUGAAGCAAAAGUACAGACAGAACACAAAAGGUUUCUGGCAUUUGAAGUCAAAGAGUAUUCAUCGUUGGAUGAGUUACAAAAGGAAUUUGAAACUGCAGGACUUAAGAAGCUUUUCUCCGAAUUUGUACUUAGGCUGAUAAAAUGAAGUGGAAGACAGCUUUCCUUGAAGCUCAGUAUGACCAUAAGACUAAAUUCUGGGUAAAUGGAGGGACCAUAUGUGGUUUCCAGAAGGGCUUCUUGAAGGCGUUGACUCACUGGGAGCUGCUGCCUUUUCCUCCCUUCUACUGCCUGGAAUGUGGACAGGAGGGCUGAAACUCCAAUGGCAAUCUUGGGUUAUAAGAGAAAGUGGGACACUCUGAUUUUGGGGCUGAGGAAAGGAUACAAGAAAAUUCCAGGGGAGAAGACAUACUGCCACCAUAUCCUGACAACAGUCUGCUGCACACGAUGGGGUGUUGCUCCAGGACCUUGCUUCAGACGUGUAAGCUCCCCCAUCCUUUAAACCACUGAUGUCUCUGUCGCUGACUCCCCACUCUUUCUUCCAUCUUGAAGCUGGGCAAGUACAAGCCUUGUAGGCCGGAGGGGUGCAGCCCAACACUUGGUCAAAAGAACACUGACUGAGCAAGUCAAUGGGAUACAAACCCAGACCUGGCUGACCCUGGAGCCCUGAGCUUUCUUCCCAAUCCUCCUCAUAGAGAAACACAGCUAAUAGUUUGAAUUUUUUGUACCAACGUCUUUUCUUUUUUUAAACGACUAAACCAAUAUUAUAGUAUAUGUGAAUAUUUAUAUAUAUAUUAAUUUUUUUAAUUGAAGUGUAGUGAAUGUACAAUAUUAUAUAAGUUAUAGGUGUACAACAUAGUGAUUCACAAUUUUUAAAGGUUUUACUUCAUUUUUCGGUAUUAUAAAAUAUUGGCUAUAUUCCCUGUGUUGUACAAUAUAUCCAUGUAGCUUAUUUUAUACGUAACAGUUUGUACCUCUUAAUCCCCUACCCCUAUCUUGCUCCCCCUCACCCCCCACUGGUAACCACUAGUUUUGUUCUCUAUAUCUGUGAGUCUGUUUCUUUUUUUGUUAUAUUCACUAGUUUGUUGUAUUUUUUAGAUUCCACAUAUAAGUGAUACUGUACAGUGUUUGCCUUUCUCUGUCUUAUUUCACUUAGCAUAAUACCCUCCAAGUCCAUCCAUGUUGUUGCAAAUGGCAAAAUUUCAUUCUUUGUAAUGGCUGAGUAAUAUUCCAUCGUAUAUAUAUAUACCACAUCUUCGUUAUCCAUUCAUCUGUUGGAUAAACACUUAGGUUGCUUCCCUAUCUUGGCAAUUGUAAAUAAAGCUACUAUGAACAUUGGGGUGCAUUAGUGUUUUUGUUUUUUUUGGAUAUAUCCCCAGGAGUAGAAUUGCUGGGUCAUGUGGUGGUUCCAUUUGUAGUUUUCUGAGAAACUUCCAUACUGGUUUUCCACAGUGGCUGCACCAACUUACAUUCCCACCAAGAGAGUACGAGGAUUCCCUUUUCUCCACAUCCUCACCAAAAUUUGUUAUUUGUGUUCUUUUUGAUGACAGCCAUUCUGACAGGUGUAAGGUGAUAUCUCAUUGUGGUUUUGAUUUGUAUUUCCCUGGUGAUUAGCAAUGUUGAGUCUUUUUAUGUGUCUGUUGGUCAUGUGCAUGUCCUCUUGGGACAAAUGUCUAUUUAGGUCUUCUGCCCAUUUUUUAAAUCAGGUUUUUUUUGAUGUUAAGUUGUAUGAACUGUUUAUGUAUUUUGGAUAUUAACCCCUUAUCGGUCAUAUUAUUUGCAAAUAUUUUCUCCCAUUCAGUAGGUUGUCUGUUGGUUUUGUUGAUGGUUUCCUUUGCUUUUUAGUUUAAUUAGGUCCCAUUUGUUUAUUUUUGCUUUUAUUUCCUUUGCUUUGGGAGACAGAUCCAAAAAAAAUAUUGCUAUGAUUUAUGUCAAAGAGUGUUCUAUGUUUUUCUCUAGCAGUUUUAUGGUUUCCAGCCUUACAUUUAGGUCUUUAAUCCACUUCGAAUUUAUUUUUGUACAUGGUGUUAGAGAAUGAGGCUGACUUGGGAGUACGGGUCCCUUGGCUUCUGGCUUUUGGUAGGGCUGGGUCGACUGAUGGAAGGGUUGCAGGGUGGGGCCGUGGCAGGAGGUGAGAGGGAAGGAGAAUUCAGCUGAGGUACUGCUUCUCCUGGUCCUCCCUGUGGGGUUGCUGAGGGAUGGCUGCCUCCCUAGACCCAAGGUCACAGUUCUGGUAGGUGAGCCUCUCUGCUCAACUUCGUUGCUCCAGCCUUGGGGACUGCCUUAUCCCUUUUGGGUUCCCUCCACCCUGCCCACACCCUUAUGAAUAAUCCUUUUAUUAAAUGCUCUUCAAAUUUCCCAAUUUGAGCGUGCUGUUUAUUUCCUGUGUGGAUUCUGGGUAAUACUACUUGUAUAAGCGUGGCUCUUCCUUCCACAUUUCAUGUCAAGAUAGGGUAUUACCCGUGUUUUUAAUCAUUUCAGUCCUCAUAAGGGGAAAAUGAUAUCUUGUUUUAAUUUAUAUAUUUUUGAUUAUUAUUGAGUUUGAACAUCUGUUCACAUGUUAAUUGGCUAUUUGCAUAUUUGUCUUAAUUGCUUGUUAACAUUCUUUGCCCAUUUUUCUUUUGGGUGAUCUCCUCCCUCCCUUUUAAAUUCUUAUUUUGAGUGGAAUAUUUUUUCUAUUAUAUUUUCCAACUGAUUGUUGUUAGUGUAAGUGAAAAUUAUUGCUUUCGUAUUUUGCCAUUCCUCUGAGCUCUUUUGUUUUAAUGGAUUUUAGCUGAUUCUCUUGGAUUUUCCAAUAACAUUUGCAAAGAAUGAUAAUGCCAUAUCUUCCUUUCUGAUUUAUGCCGCAUUUCUUUACCCUGUUUUACUACAUUGGCUAGAUCCUCCAAAUCACUAUUGAACAAUAGUGGCGGUGGUGCUAAUCUUUGUCUGAUUCCUGACUCUAAUCCAGAGUGUGUUUCACAGAACUCUAACACUGAGGGAUACCCCUUGAGGAAAGUUCAGACUCAUGCGGGAAGCAUUGUACGCUCUUAGAGAGUCCCAGUGCAUGUGAGUGUGUUAAGGGCUCUGCGUCUUUUUGUUUUUGGUUCUUGCUUAAUAUAGCUCUGGUACUGAAUUUUAUGCAGUUCAUUAUCAGCUCAAUAAUUUGCAUAGGUCCUGGAGAGCCAAAACACAAACAAAAUAUUUUGUAACAAUAUAGUUAAACCACUGUGGUUUUAUGUAAAAAUUCUGAAUUAUUCUAAGGCUCAAUGCUUAUUAGUCUAGAUACUUAAGCCACUAUAUUUUGUAUUUAAGGGGUCAUAUGACUCAUCCUCCACUUUGGCAUGUUUUGCUCUCAGAAGAAACAAUUGAGAUUUAAAAAACUAACUUAAAUGGAAGGACGGAUAUCAGGAAAUCAUACUGUUCUUUCUCCCUCUCUUUCUUCUCUGUGUAUGUGUUUUAUACACACAUACACAUAUACACAAACAACCAAACAAAUAAAAAAUUCCAAGAACCAACAGACCUCAAGUUACUAUUUUCUUACAAUGUCCAUGCUUCUUUAUUGGCCCCUUACCCCUUCCCUCCAAUUCUUUUUUUUUUUUUUUUUCCCAAUACUUUUUCAUUGUUCCUUACUCCCUCCUUUCCUUUCUUCCAAUGUAUGUUUAGUUAUCUCCAGAAAAAUCUUUCUCCAUCAUUGCUCUUUUUCCAUUCCGAUUAUUAAUUAAAAAUUACUCUUACUGUUGAUGAAAAUCAAGUUAAUAUUAAAGAAUACCUGCAACAAGAGAAGGGAAAGGCACUCGUUAUUAAACUUAUCUUAACUGUCCAAGUAAUACAUGUUGUUAUGUGUUCACAUGAAAUUAAGCCCUGAAACAGAAUUGAUGACAACAACCUCCAAAGACCUUGAAAAAGCUCAGAAGUCACCUUCAGAAUUCUGAUAAAUGUCUCAUCUACAUUUGCCUUCUCUUCAAAUUAAAUCUGUUAUUCUCAGAGCAUUUAAGAAUAAUAAACUAUCUUUAAUUCAAUUUAACUUUCCAUUUUCUUUAAUUACGAGUAUUGAAACAGUAUUGCUUCCUGCUAUAUUUCAUUGUAAGUCUUUCAGCUAUGCUAUAAGGCUAAAUUAAGCUUUUAUAGAUUUUUUUAGGAUAAACCUAAUCUCUAUUUAUUGCUUCUAGGGUAAUAUUCAUCCUUAGUUUUAAAAAUACUGACAUGUAAAUAAAGUCUUAGAAAAUAACUCACUUACAAAUUGGCAAUUCCUGUGUGGUGAAUUAAAAAAAAAAAAAAAAGAACAAAACCGAAAGAUGGACUCUCCUAUUUUUACAGAAUUUCUUUUGUUAGUUCAGUAAGGUCAAAUUUUGGGGGUGUGAAUCUAAAUCAUGUUGCUAGGUUAAUACAGAAUUAGAGAAAUUCAGUGGUACUUCAACUUAAUUGCUCUCCCAUCAUUUUAGUCAUAUGUUUAUUUUUCAUUUUUAAUAAAAUUUCUUUAAUUUCUGAAGUUGGAAUUCCAAUGUUUAAGAGAAUAGAUCCAUGAUUUUAUGCCAAUGGAACGGCCUACUGGUUUUUGUUUUUUUGUUUUUUUGUUUUGACAGGGUAGGGGGUGGUGUCUGGCAAAAUGCCUUUUCCAUUAAAUAGAUCUAUAAGGAAAAAAAGUCAUUAUUGCUAAUGAAUUCAGGGAUUUUACUUACUGGAAGUAGUCAAGUAGUCUGGUACAAAAAUGCACAUUGCAUUAUGAACCAUAACACUGCAAGGUUUGUAAUAUAAGAGCUGCUAAAUAUAUUUUGAACAUCACAAAGGCUGUGUUUCUUGCCUGGAGCUUGCUCUUUGUUAUACUCUGCAUCUCAUAUUCUUAUCUUUUUCAUGAGGAGUAGUGAAUCUCAAUAAAAUCUAUGGAUUGUGUUAUGUUUAAAGGCUACUCACUGAACCAAUAUUUUCACAGAUAAGAUCAAUAAUAUAUGUGUAAAUCUUUGAAAUUUAGAUUGGAAAGGAAGCUGCCUAAUAAAACUCUGCUAUUGAAUUUUAUACAACAUCUUACCAGCCUUUUAAUUUUAUAUUCAGGUCCCAAAGGACCAAAAGACAAACUGAACACAUCUGCAAUUAUCUGGAUUAAACCAUGAUGGUUUUAUGCAAAAACUCUGAAUGCAUUUAAGGUUUAUGUAUUGUGAAGGCAUUGUGUAAUGGUUAUUCAUUUCGUUUCUUUGUUAAGAACACUUGCCUAAUGUUAAAAU